rnacentral:rRNA from 1 species
GACGAACGCUGGCGGCGUGCCUAAUACAUGCAAGUCGAACGCAUUUUCUUUCACCGUAGCUUGCUACACCGAAAGAAAAUGAGUGGCGAACGGGUGAGUAACACGUGGGUAACCUGCCCAUCAGCGGGGGAUAACACUUGGAAACAGGUGCUAAUACCGCAUAAUUCCAUUUACCGCAUGGUAAAUGGAUGAAAGGCGCUUUUGCGUCACUGAUGGAUGGACCCGCGGUGCAUUAGCUAGUUGGUGGGGUAACGGCCUACCAAGGCUGCGAUGCAUAGCCGACCUGAGAGGGUGAUCGGCCACACUGGGACUGAGACACGGCCCAGACUCCUACGGGAGGCAGCAGUAGGGAAUCUUCGGCAAUGGACGCAAGUCUGACCGAGCAACGCCGCGUGAGUGAAGAAGGGUGUCGGAUCGUAAAACUCUGUUGUUAGAGAAGAACAAGGAUGAGAGUGGAAAGUUCAUCCCUUGACGGUAUCUAACCAGAAAGCCACGGCUAACUACGUG